rnacentral:rRNA from 1 species
AACGAACGCUGGCGGCAGGCCUAACACAUGCAAGUCGAGCGAGGACUUCGGUCCUAGCGGCGGACGGGUGAGUAACGCGUGGGAACGUGCCCUUUGCUACGGAAUAGCCCUGGGAAACUGGGAGUAAUACCGUAUGUGCCCUUUGGGGGAAAGAUUUAUCGGCAAAGGAUCGGCCCGCGUUGGAUUAGGUAGUUGGUGGGGUAAUGGCCUACCAAGCCGACGAUCCAUAGCUGGUUUGAGAGGAUGAUCAGCCACACUGGGACUGAGACACGGCCCAGACUCCUACGGGAGGCAGCAGUGGGGAAUCUUAGACAAUGGGCGCAAGCCUGAUCUAGCCAUGCCGCGUGAGCGAUGAAGGCCUUAGGGUUGUAAAGCUCUUUCAGUGGGGAAGAUAAUGACGGUACCCACAGAAGAAGCCCCGGCUAACUCCGUGCCAGCCGCCGCAGUAAAAC